UCACCUCAUUAAAAAUUCAGGGAGCAAGGUUUUUGAGUCGCCGAGUCAAGCCAAGUCGCCAAGGCUGCGGCUAGUGGCUUGCUGGCUUGAGUCAGUAACUUGCCUGGACUAAUCGCCCCAAGUCGCCAUGGCACUCCUGCACCUGUUUCCCUCCUUUGCAUAGCCCAUUAAUGCCAGAUAAGCAAAGUUAUCAGGCCAAACAGGCCCAGCACGGCCCAGCUAACCACUCCCGGCCCUCAUCCACUCGCUAAACCUAGCGCUGCCAGCCUGCACUCCUUCAUCUGCGCCUCUCCUCUCGAACUUCUUCCUCUGCGCCGCCGGCGAGGAGAGGCGGCGCCUCCUCCCCAGCCUCACCCGCCUCCGGCUCAGUCCUGCAGCUUCAUCUCCUCCUCCCUCGCCUUAGUCUGCGCCGCCGCAGCCUCGCUCAAGGUCACGGCCGUCGCCGCGGAGGUCCAGCCGCCGUCGAUCUGAAGGGGGUGCGUCGCCGGCGAGCUGCGACGGCGGUUCCUAGGUCACGGCCGCGAGCGCCAUGGCUUCCUCUCCUCCCGAGCUCCCUCCCUUUCCCUCUCUCUGUCGAGCCAGCAAGUCAAUUGAUCGACUAAUCGCAGCGAUUAAUCGCAGAAAAUCGCUGUUGAGCCAGCGAGUCGGGCGACUCGCUCCGCGAGCCAAGUCGCCCGCGCAAGCCAGUCACGACGCGACGACUAGGCGAUUAGUCGGCGACUAAUCGGCGAUUAGUCGGCGACUCAAAAACCUCGUCAGGGAGGAGACUUGUGUGGCAUAUGACGAAAUAAUUUUUUUCAAUGGGAUAUUUCAUUGCAGGGUGAUAUGGAGGAACCAAAAGAUCCAGAAGCAUCACCUCAUUAAAAAUUUAGGGAGGACACUUGUUUGGCAUAUGACGAAAUUUUGUUGAAGGUAUUUGUGUGAUUGAUGAGAACUACAUACAUAACAAUGCAAGGACACUAUAAUUUCGCAUUUUCAAGGCUAGCACAUGGAGCGGUAAAAGGGAGGAGGAGCUACCAUGGUGGCCAGGUAACUCGAGGAUGGAAGGGAAUUGGUGUAGAAUAAGCCUGCUCUCUACAAGAAAAUACAUAGGAUAAUUAGGAAACAAGGUGCUGAAAAAAAUAGAAGAAAAUGCAGAGACCAAAUACAGGGACUGCAACUCUGCAAGACUGAAAUUAAUGAAAAGCUAAGCCUUUUCUAUUUUAGAUGAACAAACAGCAAAGCCAGUUGAGGAGCGAUCUCCAGUAGCUCCCCGGUCACUAGCGGAGUCAAAGAUUGUCCGCUGAAAGACGGACAAGUGAUCAUGUUUUAUCAUUGUUGAAAGGAGUAGUGAAUGCUGAUGUACGUAUAUUUUUCAUUCAAUCUAAUGGAAGUGCAAAUUUAUCAUGUUGAAAGGAGUAGUGAAUGCUGAUGUACGUAUAUUUUUCA